UGCCCUGGUUCUGUGCCUGGCAGGCUGACUUUGCUCUGAAGUGCGCCAGCUCUCCAUACCUUGUAUAUUUUAAUGCCGACACUGAUCUUCAAUCAGCCUUGCUCUGGCCUUCCAGUGAAAAUACGCCAAAAUGUCAUAGGUUUCCAAAUGAAAUGCAAAUACUGAACUUUCUGAAAUUUACUGAUAGUAUUUUACUCCUUUACUGCAUCUGAGCUGUACCAAUGAGGCACAACGGAAGCAAGGGUUUAAGAUUUCUGACAGCAAAGGUCUUUGCACUUGCCACUCCACAUGUGUCUCAGCUGGAUGGUCUGUGACACCUUGAUGGUCUUAAAGGUCUUUUCCAACCUAAAUGAUUCUACAGUUCUACGUCCCAUGAAGAAUAUGAGUUGUCUGCUUGCUUGCUCACUCAGCAUAAUGAAAAGAAGCAAUGAAAUACUCAAAGUCAGAGCCAUUUUCACUGUGUAACAUUGCUGCUGUACAUUUGGUUACCUAUGUACAAAUCCAAGGAUAAAUUUUGGCCCUGACCAUGGAAUAUUUACUCACUUUCAAGUACGGAUGUGACCUGCCUUUUCCUUCUGCGACUAAAAGGGUGACCAGAGGCAGUGGAAUGUACACCAGGGUUGGAAAGAAUAAAACCAGAGGGAAAGCAAGCUGUCAAGAGAACAGUGUACUGAAGAGGAAAAAUGUAAAACGUGACUUCUAUUUACCAUGAUUAAUAUGUAAAGUUAACUUGUUUGUCAUGGAAUAUAUUAAUAUGUAUGUUUCCCCAUUAUGUAGAUCUUUUCUUAUAUUACUUAUUAGAAAGGGAUACAAUCACAAUGAUGGGGUACGAAUGCCACUUAAAAAUUAGGUGAUGCCCAGUCAACAUAAUAUAACCACUAAUGUCAUUUCUGAUUUAGAUGUGGUGAUAUCAGUGUAAUUGCCGCUGGGAAGAAAUUAAAAUGGCUGUUAAUGAUAAAUAAAAUGACAAGAAGGAGGAUCCUCCUUCACAUAUAAUUCCAAGCAAGAUACAACUGCUGACUUCCUUAAGCACUCAGUGCUGUUCAUUGAUAAAGAGGAAACAAGCAGGUUUUGUGGAGCUGCAUGAUCACAAGAGCUGCACUGUCCUUUCCCAAGCCCAAACAUACACCCUGUAGGUCUAAUAAGAUUUCAUCAUGUUAUUUCCACUCAGAGAAGGUGCAAUAGUGAAGCUCACACAAAGUGAACCUUAAUACUAUUCUAACAGAAAGCACUGUAGCUAGCAAACAGAAAGAUAAGCAAAAAUAGGGUAAAGCCAAGGGUACAACCAUGCAUGGCUUUUCAAAGCCUCCAAAUACUCCAGCCUUGUCUCUGUAAACACAGGCAGCCUUAACUCACAGAUCAAAAGACCUUCCUACAUUUGUUUUAUAUCAUAACUGUAUCAAGAAUGAGCUACGCGAAGCCUUGUUCACAUGACUUGUAAGCCUAGUUGAGAGCAUCUUUCAACUCAUUCACACAUUAAAAGUCAGAAAACCAACAUUUGAUUACUGGUUGUAGCGUUAAGAUCGAAGAUCAUAUCUUCCCAUCUGUGAAGAGCAAGAGUCCAAUUGUUUUCUCCUCUCUGCAUUUACAGAAGAAUCAAAACACAAGAUCAAUGUUAUACUCCACAUCCCAUGAGUAACGUAGUUCCAGCCUAUAAAAAUACAAGGCAGUCACUAUAACUUACAUACAUUUUCUUGCAAAGAAGAUAACUCUAAGCAAAUCUGUAGUCAUAUCUUCACAAUAUUCCAAGUCUACAGUUAUCCAAAACUCAGAGUUGGCUUGAACGACAGGUGUUAUCCUAGUAUAUAAAAUUAUAACACCUCUUAAAAGGGAAAAUAUCAUAUACCUGCCAUUUAGUCUUUUUUUGAUAUCUUAAAAAUCAGU